UACGUAGGGUGCAAGCGUUGUCCGGAUUUAUUGGGUUUAAAGGGUGCGUAGGUGGCUGUUUAAGUCAUGGGUGAAAGCCCGCUGCUCAACUGUGGAAUUGCCUGUGAUACUGAUUAGCUUGAGUGCGGUUGAGGCAGCUGGAAGUGGUGGUGUAGCGGUGAAAUGCAUAGAUACCACCAGGAACACCGAUUGCGAAGGCAGGUUGCUAAGCCGUAACUGACACUGAGGCACGAAAGCGUGGGGAGCAAACAGG
rnacentral:rRNA from 1 species